AAUGAACGUUGGCGGCGUGGAUUAGGCAUGCAAGUCGUACGGGUCGGUGUAGCAAUACAACGGCAAGUGGCGAAAGGGAGAGUAACACGUAGAUACCUACCCUCUGGUCGGGGAUACCGCGGCAUAACCGCAAGUAAUACCCGAUAAAAUCUCCGGAUCAAAGGUGUGAUUCCGCCGGAGGAGGGGUCUGCGUUCUAUCAGCUUGUUGGUGAGGUAAUGGCUCACCAAGGCUAAGACGGAUACGGGGUGUGAGAGCAUGCCCCCGCUCACUGGGACUGAGACACUGCCCAGACACCUACGGGUGGCUGCAGUCGGGAAUCUUCGGCAAUGGGCGCCAGCCUGACCGAGCGACGCCGCGUGCGGGAUGAAGGCCUUCGUGUUGUAAACCGCUGUCGAGGGGAAUGAAGUGUAGGUGGGUACUCCCAUCUAUUUGACAGAUCCCUGGAGGAAGCAUGGGCUAAGUUCGUGCCAGCCGCCGCGGUAA
rnacentral:rRNA from 1 species